UACAGAGGUCCCGAGCGUUGUUCGGAUUCACUGGGCGUAAAGGGUGCGUAGGUGGCGGGGCAAGUUUGAUGUGAAAUCUCCGGGCUCAACCCGGAAAAUGCAUUGAAUACUGCCUUGCUGGAGGUUUGGAGGGGGGACUGGAAUUCUUGGUGUAGCAGUGAAAUGCGUAGAUAUCAAGAGGAACACCAGUGGCGAAGGCGAGUCCCUGGACAACACCUGACACUGAGGCACGAAAGCCGGGGGAGCAAACAGG
rnacentral:rRNA from 1 species